AUGGGUAUAGCUGAGUGGUAGUGUGUGUACUUAGCAUGCACAAGGUCCUGGGUUCAAUCCCCAGUACCUCUG
rnacentral:tRNA from 1 species